rnacentral:misc_RNA from 1 species
GAUGAAGAACGUAGCGAAAUGCGAUACUUGGUGUGAAUUGCAGAAUCCCGUGAACCAUCGAGUCUUUGAACGCAAGUUGCGCCCGAAGCCAUUAGGCCGAGGGCACGCCUGCCUGGGCGUCACACGUCGUUGCCCCCCCCAUCUACUCCUUCGGGAUUGCGGGGGGCGGAUGAUGGCCUCCCGUGCGCCUCGCCGCGCGGUUGUAUAAAUGCCAAGUCCUCGGCGACGCACGCCACGACAAUCGGUGGUUGCGAAACCUCGGUUGCCCGUCGUGUGCGGUCGUCGCGCAUCGAGGGCUCGAAAAAAUUGCCGAGUUCCGGCUCGGCUUUCAACGCGACCCCAGGUCAGGCGGGGUUACCCGCUGAAUUUAAGCAUAUCAAUAAGCGGAGGA